GAGAAGGUCCCGAACCUUUACAUUAAAGCUUUGGUGAUGCUUGAGGACUUCUUGGCUCAGGCCUUGGCUAAUAAGGAUGCUAAGGACGCUAAAAAGAAGAUGAGCAGUACCAAUGCUAAGGCUCUCAAUUCAAUGAAGCAGAAGCUGAAGAAGAAUAACAAGCAGUACGAGGAGCUGAUAGCAAAGUACCGGGAAAAGCCAGAGAGUGAGGAUGAAGCAGCUGAAGAUAAGGAUGAUGAGGAGGACGAUGAGUCAGGCUCGGAGGUUGAGGAGGAUCUGUCAAAGAUCACAAUGUCUGAUGAAGAGGAUGAGGAAGAGGAAGAUGACGAUGAGCAGGCUGAGGGUGGUGGGACCUGGGAGAAGCAGAUGAGCAGGAAGGAUAAGCUCAUGGACAAGCAGUUCAUGAAAGACCCUAGCAAGAUCACGUGGGAUAUUGUCGACAAGAAGCUUAAAGAGAUUGUGGCAGCCAGGGGUAAAAAAGGAACAGGGAGGGUAGAGCAGGUUGAGCAGCUUACUUUCUUGACUCGUGUUGCCAAAACACCUGCUCAGAAGCUUGAAAUUCUUUUCAGUGUGAUAUCGGCACAAUUUGAUGUCAACCCAAG
rnacentral:lncRNA from 1 species